UUAGUGGAGGACGGGUGAGUAACGCGUGAGAAUCUGACUCUAGGUCGGGGACAACAAUUGGAAACGAUUGCUAAUACCCGAUGUGCAGCAAUGUGAAAGAUUUUUGCCUAGAGAUGAGCUCGCGUCUGAUUAGCUAGUAGGUGUGGUAAUGGCGCACCUAGGCGACGAUCAGUAACUGGUCUGAGAGGAUGACCAGUCACACUGGGACUGAGACACGGCCCAGACUCCUACGGGAGGCAGCAGUGGGGAAUUUUCCGCAAUGGGCGAAAGCCUGACGGAGCAAUACCGCGUGAGGGACGAAGGCUUUUGGGUCGUAAACCUCUUUUCCCUGAGACGAAGAUCUGACGGUAUCAGGGGAAUCAAGCAUCGGCUAACUUCGUGCCAGCAGCCGCGGUAAUACGAGGGAUGCAAGCGUUAUCCGGAAUUAUUGGGC
rnacentral:rRNA from 1 species